rnacentral:tRNA from 1 species
CGCGGGAUGGAGCAGUUCGGUAGCUCGUCGGGCUCAUAACCCGGAGGUCGUCGGUUCAAAUCCGGCUCCCGCAACCA